GUGGGGAAUAUUGGGCAAUGGGCGGAAGCCUGACCCAGCGACGCCGCGUGGGGGAAGAAGUCUUUCGGGAUGUAAACCCUUGUUGUACGGGACGAAGGAAGUGACGGUACCGUACGAGGAAGCCCCGGCAAACUACGUGCCAGCAGCCGCGGUAAUACGUAGGGGGCGAGCGUUGUCCGGAAUCACUGGGCGUAAAGCGCACGUAGGCGGGCUGUCAAGUCGGCCGUGAAAGGCACGGGCUCAACCUGUGCAUGUCGGUCGAUACUGGCGGUCUGGAGUAUGGGAGAGGGAACUGGAAUUCCCGGUGUAGCGGUGAAAUGCGUAGAUAUUGGGAAGAAUACCAGUGGCGAAGGCGAUUCUCUGGUCUGUCUCUGACGCUGAGGAGCGAAAGCGUGGGUAGCGAACGGGAUUAGAUACCCUGGUAGUCC
rnacentral:rRNA from 1 species